AUUGAACGCUCGCGGGAUGCUUUACACAUGCAAGUCGAGCGGCAGCGCGGACUUCGGUCUGGCGGCGAGUGGCGAACGGGUGAGUAAUGUAUCGGAACGUGCCCAGUAGCGGGGGAUAACUACGCGAAAGCGUAGCUAAUACCGCAUACGCCCUACGGGGGAAAGCAGGGGAUCGUAAGACCUUGCACUAUUGGAGCGGCCGAUAUCGGAUUAGCUAGUUGGUGAGGUAACGGCUCACCAAGGCGACGAUCCGUAGCUGGUUUGAGAGGACGACCAGCCACACUGGGACUGAGACACGGCCCAGACUCCUACGAGAGGCAGCAGUGGGGAAUUUUGGACAAUGGGGGCAACCCUGAUCCAGCCAUCCCGCGUGUGCGAUGAAGGCCUUCGGGUUGUAAAGCACUUUUGGCAGGAAAGAAACGUCGCGGGCUAAUACCCCGUGGAACUGACGGUACCUGCAGAAUAAGCACCGGCUAACUACGUG
rnacentral:rRNA from 1 species